GUGCGGAUUGUGGUGGAGGGAAAAACCAGUUUUAAUAAUAUACCUGGUUCGGUGUAUUACCCUGGUGGUGACACUGCCAAGGACUUGUGACUUCAGCUUGUUGCAAAUGGCUUUGCCAAAUAUGCUCGAGUGGAGUGUAAAAAAGGAAUGGCUGCGGACUGGAUUUAAGCUGCCAGUAACUAACUCAAAGUCAAUACGUGACCAGAAAUUCAGUAGAAAAGGUUGUUGUUACCGAAGUUCAUGAUGGUUGAAAGUUUUAUGCCCAGACAAUAGGUGACUAGAGAGUUUCAUCCAUUCAACAGCACUUGCAUCAUUGAUACUUAAAGAGGCACUGGUCAAUGGUGCUUUUAAUUAAUCCUGUGAAGGAGAUAGUCCUUGCUCAGUUUAGCCUUGAGAACUCCUGGAAUAGAGCAAUGCUUGGUCAGCCUGUUUUUGAUGAUCCAAGCCUUCCGCAUGCCCCAUCUACUACGUAUUAUUUUGGAGAUUAUUUGAUGUCCCAUCUACUACACCAGGCACAGGCUGCUGGGGCAGAAACCUCAGGCUGAUGGACCCCCUAAGAAGAAGAAGGGAGUACUUCGACAUUCGUCCAAUAGAUUAUAAGGAACCUCAAAGGAUAAUCAAAAUUCUUUUUAGAAUAUUACUCAAUCUUAUGCUAGAAGAACUUGAUGUUUCAAAUGAUGAAUAACAUCUUGAGCUAUGAUCGUACACCAAAGCGUACAUAUAAAUCUACCAGGAAUUGCAUCACCAAAGAGUAUCUUUUAUUAAUUCGCAUGUGCAUUACACAAUUUUCCUACGGUUUACUCCUCAGAGUUGUGUCAAGGGGUGACCUCCAGGAGACUAAUACCUUUCACGUUUCUCAGGACUUGCUUUGUGUGUGGGCAGGAAAAGUUUCUGCUCUUUCAUGGAAUGUGCACUGUUGUUCCAAGUGUGCGCUUUUGUACAGAUGCAAGCUCAAGGUUGAUAUAUAAUCUCUAUGUGAUAUGCAUUGGUCUACUAAAUUGAGCCUGUAAUAGAUUCUUCGGCUAUCAAUAUGCGCUGCGUCACCAAGUAGGCGACCGAGGAAAUCUCUCGCUGAAUUGAUAAAAUUUAAUCUCUUGCAUGCGACCGUUUGGAGAAAUGUUUGGAUAAAAUGAGGAUGAGCUAAUGUUCCUAAAAUUAGAACCAAGGUUGCAUCUAUAAAAUUGAUUUCUACUCAUGUUGUGUUAUUGUGUAAGGUUGUUUAUAGCCUUUUCAGUUCAGCUAUUUUGUUCCUUUUGAAUACCUUUUAAUACGCAAUGUGUUAUCACCCCUUAUCUGAUUAGGUUACAUUGA